rnacentral:rRNA from 1 species
AGUGAACGCUGGCGGUAGGCCUAACACAUGCAAGUCGAACGGCAGCACAGUAAGAGCUUGCUCUUACGGGUGGCGAGUGGCGGACGGGUGAGGAAUACAUCGGAAUCUACUUUUUCGUGGGGGAUAACGUAGGGAAACUUACGCUAAUACCGCAUACGACCUACGGGUGAAAGCAGGGGAUCUUCUGACCUUGCGCGAUUGAAUUAGCCGAUGUCGGAUUAGCUAGUUGGCUGGGUAAAGGCCCACCAAGGCGACGAUCCGUAGCUGGUCUGAGAGGAUGAUCAGCCACACUGGAAGUGAGACACGGUCCAGACUACUACGGGAGGCAGCAGUGGGGAAUAUUGGACAAUGGGCGAAAGCAUGAUCCAGCCAUACCGAGUGGGUGAAGAAGGACUUCGGGUUGUAAAGCCCUUUUGUUGGGAAAGAAAAGCAGCAGGUUAAUAACCCGCUGUUAUGGCGGUACCCAAAGAAUAAGCACCGGCUAACUUCGUG